CCUGUGUUUGUCGUCUUCGUCGUCGGGCUCGGAGCAACGGUUUGACUUCGUCUGGUUCGAAAGGCAACAGUUUUAUCGACCAAAAUAGGUCACGACGAAGUAAAAGAGCCAACUAAGAACACCGGUACUCUGUUUCGUGACUAUGAACGAGGCUAGUGGCAUUGUAUAGCGAAGAGGGACAAAAGCUUUCUACACGGUAUCCUCCUAAGUCCCGAUCCUACCGUCGUCUCUUCUUUCGUUUGAAUGAACGUGUCUCUCUAGCUGUCCGUCCUCGGAACCUUUACCUUGCUUCGCAUCUCCCAACACCAUGUACCUGGCGUUGUACUACCUGGUCCUCCCUUACGUGUACGAUCCGCGUCAACGACCCCUAUUCCUUUGUUCUCGGGGUUAGAUAGUAACAUCCUACCUUGCAGAAAACUGUUUUACAUAAUUCAUAAAGGACUACACUAAUCACCACACCUGUUCUCGUUCGACGUAACACUAGGCACACUCAGACAAUUUGUACGGUCUUUGAGUAUACACUCAUUCCCCUAGUCCUCGUAUAGAGGAAACACAAUUAGGUGAGACUACAUACCUGUACAGGUCACAAAUAGACAGUCACCAUACUUCAUAUAGCAAUGCAAGUAACCAACGGUAAGAGCCUACUGAACCCAGAUAGAAGACUUUGUAUUUCUACUUCACAAAGUCACAAAGUUUCAAAAAAUUCGUGAACAAGGUUGAGUUAAGUUACACUUUUAAGUUCGUGAGUCUAGACUG
rnacentral:rRNA from 1 species